CUACGUAUGGGGCGAGCGUUAUCCGGAUUCAUUGGGCGUAAAGCGCGCGUAGGCGGCCUGCCAAGUCAGGUGUGAAAACCGGGGGCUCAACCCGCGGACUGCACUUGAAACUGGCAGGCUUGAGUCUGGUAGAGGGAAGUGGAAUUCCUAGUGUAGCGGUGAAAUGCGCAGAUAUUAGGAGGAACACCAGUGGCGAAGGCGGCUUCCUGGGCCAUGACUGACGCUGAGGCGCGAAAGCUAGGGGAGCGAACAGGAUUAGAAACCCCGGUAGUCC
rnacentral:rRNA from 1 species